rnacentral:rRNA from 1 species
GAGUUUGAUCCUGGCUCAGGAUGAAGGGAAGCGGCAGGCUUAAUACAUGCAAGUCGAGGGGCAGCGGGGGUAGCAAUACCUGCCGGCGACCGGCAAACGGGUGCGGAACACGUACACAACCUUCCUUUUAGUGUGGGAUAGCCCAGAGAAAUUUGGAUUAAUACCACAUAGUAUAUUGGGGUGGCAUCACUUUGAUAUUAAAGAUUUAUCGCUAAAAGAUGGGUGUGCGUAUGAUUAGGUAGUUGGUAGAGGUAACGGCUCACCAAGCCUUCGAUCAUUAACUGGUGUGAGAGCACGACCAGUCACACGGGCACUGAGACACGGGCCCGACUCCUACGGGAGGCAGCAGUAAGGAAUAUUGGUCAAUGGACGGAAGUCUGAACCAGCCAUGCCGCGUGAAGGAUGACGGCCCUCUGGGUUGUAAACUUCUUUUAUAUGGGACGAAAAAAGGCUUUUCCAGGUCGUCUGACGGUACCAUAUGAAUAAGCACCGGCUAACUCCGUGCCAGCAGCCGCGGUAAUACGGAGGGUGCAAGCGUUAUCCGGAUUCACUGGGUUUAAAGGGUGCGUAGGUGGGUUGGUAAGUCAGUGGUGAAAUCCCCGAGCUUAACUUGGGAACUGCCAUUGAUACUAUUAAUCUUGGAUACCGUGGAGGUCAGCGGAAUAUGUCAUGUAGCGGUGAAAUGCUUAGAUAUGACAUAGAACACCAAUUGCGAAGGCAGCUGGCUACGCGAAUAUUGACACUGAUGCACGAAAGCGUGGGGAUCAAACAGGAUUAGAUACCCUGGUAGUCCACGCCCU